UUGAUGAGUUGGAGAAGAAUGAACCUACCACUGAUACACUCUCACAAAGAGGGACCUGGGGUGCAGAUGGUGGUGGAGGUGUUUGGCGUGGAGAGGACAGUGAAUUCAGUGGAGGACAUCCCAGCCACUUGACAGUGUUGGCACUGUUACUUCCUACCUGACGGGUGAAGGAUGAUAAACCCGUGUUUGAGAAGAGGUGUCUGGUGUGGGAGAACAUGCGGAUUCCCUCAAAGUUCCUGAAGGAGGAGUUGAAGGCGGAGCAUGCGUAGUACCUGCGGCAACACCCAGGUCUAUCUGUCUUCAGAGAGAUCUAGAGUGCAGACAGCAGAUGGUGGUGGUGGAGAUGUUUGGGGUGGAGAGGACAGUGGAUUCAGUUGGAGGACAUCCCAGCCACUUGGCAGUGUUGGUGUAACAGUAUAACUUUAGACCGUCCCCUCGCCCAUACCCGGGCGCGAACCAGGGACCCUCUGGACACAUCAACAACAGUCACCCACGAAGCAUCGUUACACAUCGCUCCACAAAAGCCGCGGCCCUUGCAGAGCAAGGGGAACCACUACUUCAAGGUCUCAGAGCAAGUGACGUCACCGAUUGAAACGCUAUUUAGCGCGCACCGCUAACUAAGCUAGCCGUUUCACAUCCGUUACAUUGGGACUGCUACUUCCUACCUGACGGGAAAGAGGUCACUCUACUUAAACAAUCAAUAAAUCAAGCAAAUGUAAUUUACAUACAAGACACCAGUGCUCCAUUCAUCUCUUUCUCUCUUUGUUGUCAUAUCCUGUUCCUGUUUAGGCACCUGGCCACCCGAGUGCAGGUGGGCUCUGUCAACAUGAGGCUCUUACUGGUCCUACCCCAAGUACACACAGGUAUACACAGGUACACACACACAAACCACUAACCCCUAAGUUUCCAACAUGACCUGACAUGUGUGUUACAGGAGUUGAAGAUGCCUUGUACCAGCGGCAGCACCCAGCGCUCCAAGCCAUGAUGGGUCGACUUCCUGCAGUUCCUGCUACUACGAAAACUGAGCGAGGUCAUCAUGUUCGCCCGCAAGGACUUCUUUGCCUCCUGCCAACUCCCGGGUGGCACCUUGAACACCUCCUCACCUUGAGGACACACAUUGUGGCUGCGUCUGUGUCUCAAUAGUCUAGUAGCUUUCUUUGACUGGCACUUUAGUGAGGACAAUACUAUUCUGGUUGGCACUUGUCACCAGUAUGUACAGAGACCCUCGAGAUCUAGAGUAUUGAUAAAAUACGAAUGCUUUUAUGGAUGUUUUUUAUUUUGUGAUGUUUUUACUGUCUGUUUGUAUGAGGUGCACUGAAACAAAUUCCUAAUCAACUCUGUUAUGGAAAUCGCAAGAGGUCCAGUUAUGUCACAGUUAUUGUGAAUGAAAAUAAAAUGUAUCAUUUCAUGUCUUGUAUGUUUCCCAUGCUUAAUUUCUGUGGAGUAAUUCCAGUAACUGCUAAUUUGCUUUGGCUCUAAUCUGAUCAACCGAUAAUUCUUUAAAGAAUAAUGUUAUAAAUAAAAUUAUUCUCAUGCUUGUCUGACUCC
ensembl:lncRNA